CCGUACACAAAAGCGCAUGUGCUGUGAGCUCGAUGAGUAGGGCGGGACACGUGGUAUCCUGUCUGAAUAUGGGGGGACCAUCCUCCAAGGCUAAAUACUCCUGACUGACCGAUAGUGAACCAGUACCGUGAGGGAAAGGCGAAAAGAACCCCGGCGAGGGGAGUGAAAAAGAACCUGAAACCGUGUACGUACAAGCAGUGGGAGCACAGGUUUACCUGUGUGACUGCGUACCUUUUGUAUAAUGGGUCAGCGACUUAUAUUCUGUAGCAAGGUUAACCGUAUAGGGGAGCCGGAGGGAAACCGAGUCUUAAUUGGGCGUUAAGUUGCAGGGUAUAGACCCGAAACCCGGUGAUCUAGCCAUGGGCAGGUUGAAGGUUGGGUAACACUAACUGGAGGACCGAACCGACUAAUGUUGAAAAAUUAGCGGAUGACCUGUGGCUGGGGGUGAAAGGCCAAUCAAACCGGGAGAUAGCUGGUUCUCCCCGAAAGCUAUUUAGGUAGCGCCUCGUGAAUUCAUCUCCGGGGGUAGAGCACUGUUUCGGCUAGGGGGCCAUCCCGGCUUACCAACCCGAUGCAAACUGCGAAUACCGGAGAAUGUUAUCACGGGAGACACACGGCGGGUGCUAACGUCCGUCGUGAAGAGGGAAACAACCCAGACCGCCAGCUAAGGUCCCAAAGUCAUGGUUAAGUGGGAAACGAUGUGGGAAGGCCCAGACAGCCAGGAUGUUGGCUUAGAAGCAGCCAUCAUUUAAAGAAAGCGUAAUAGCUCACUGGUCGAGUCGGCCUGCGCGGAAGAUGUAACGGGGCUAAACCAUGCACCGAAGCUGCGGCAGCGAACGUAUCACCCAAGACAACUUUACGGAGUUGACGAUUGACGGAGCGAAGCGACGUCAAAGCGUUCAUUAAAGUCGAGUUGGCUUAGGGAUACGUUCGUUGGGUAGGGGAGCGUUCUGUAAGCCUGUGAAGGUGUGUCGUGAGGCAUGCUGGAGGUAUCAGAAGUGCGAAUGCUGACAUAAGUAACGAUAAAGCGGGUGAAAAGCCCGCUCGCCGGAAGACCAAGGGUUCCUGUCCAACGUUAAUCGGGGCAGGGUGAGUCGACCCCUAAGGCGAGGCCGAAAGGCGUAGUCGAUGGGAAACGGGUUAAUAUUCCCGUACUUGGUGUUACUGCGAAGGGGGGACGGAGAAGGCUAUGUUGGCCGGGCGACGGUUGUCCCGGUUUAAGCGUGUAGGUGUGUGUUCCAGGUAAAUCCGGUUCACUUUAACACUGAGGCGUGACGACGAGGCACUACGGUGCUGAAGCAACAAAUGCCCUGCUUCCAGGAAAAGCCUCUAAGCAUCAGGUAACACGAAAUCGUACCCCAAACCGACACAGGUGGUCAGGUAGAGAAUACCAAGGCGCUUGAGAGAACUCGGGUGAAGGAACUAGGCAAAAUGGUGCCGUAACUUCGGGAGAAGGCACGCUGACACGUAGGUGAAGUGAUUUACUCAUGGAGCUGAAGUCAGUCGAAGAUACCAGCUGGCUGCAACUGUUUAUUAAAAACACAGCACUGUGCAAACACGAAAGUGGACGUAUACGGUGUGACGCCUGCCCGGUGCCGGAA
rnacentral:rRNA from 2 species